CCUACGGGUGGCAGCAGUGGGGAAUAUUGCACAAUGGGCGAAAGCCUGAUGCAGCAACGCCGCGUGAGCGAUGAAGGCCUUCGGGUCGUAAAGCUCUGUCCUCAAGGAAGAUAAUGACGGUACUUGAGGAGGAAGCCCCGGCUAACUACGUGCCAGCAGCCGCGGUAAUACGGAGGAUGCGAGCGUUAUCCGGAUUUAUUGGGUUUAAAGGGUGCGCAGGCGGCCUGUUAAGUCAGCGGUAAAAGCCCGGGGCUCAACCCCGGCGAGCCGUUGAAACUGGCGGGCUGGAGUUGGAGAGAAGUACGCGGAAUGCGCGGUGCAGCGGGGAAGUGCUUAGAUAUCGCGCAGAACCCCGAUUGCGAAGGCAGCGUACCGGCUCCACACUGACGCUGAGGCACGAAAGCGUGGGUAUCGAACAGGAUUAGAUACCCCUGUAGUC
rnacentral:rRNA from 1 species